GGAUGCGAGGGCGAUCUGGCUGCGACAUCUGUCACCCCACUGAUCGCCAGGGUUGAUUCGGCUGAUCUGACUUGCUUCCUCCCUCACCGCUCCAUGUGCGUCCCUCCGGAAGCUGCGCACUCGGUCUACGACCAAGGCCUUCCCAGAAUAGAGACAGACCGGUGUUUCCUCGAGUAGCUGCGUGCCCCUGCUAGAACCUCCAAACAAGCUCUCAAGGGAGUAAAUAAAUACUUUUUUAAAAAGAAUACAGUUUGUUAUAUUAACUAAAAUGUUGUAUCAUUUAAGUUAUUGAAUUUAGCUUAAGUU
rnacentral:snRNA from 1 species